CUGCUGCCUUCCGUAGGAGUCUGGGCCGUGUCUCAGUCCCAGUGUGGGGGGCCUUCCUCUCAGAACCCCUACGCAUCGUCGCCACGGUGGGCCGUUACCCCGCCGUCUAGCUAAUGCGCCGCAUGCCCAUCCGCCACCGGAUCGCUCCUUUGGCCACCGGAGGAUGCCCUCCGGUGGCGUCACGGGGUAUUAGGCCGCGUUUCCGCGGGUUAUCCCCCUGUGGCGGCCAGGUUGCAUACGUGUUACUCACCCGUGCGCCGGUCGCCGGCGGGCG
rnacentral:rRNA from 1 species